UGAAGCAAUUUUUUCUGUUUUAUUUUUUUCAUAAAUUGUAAGAAAAUUCAAUACUUGGGUGUUACUCUUGAAAGAACUUUUUUCCGUGCGUGAGGUUGUUGACCUCUCUCAGUAAAUGUGUUGUGCGGCUCACAUUUAUAAUGUUUACAGAAAAAAUUGAGGUUGAACAAAAUAUGUGGAAAACAUGAUGAAAAGAAUCUCUCAUGAUUUGCAAUGGUAUAUGAUUUUUAUCCAACCCGUUGUAUGUUUUCUAUCCCUUCCUCAAGGCUCGGGAAUAGAAAACACAAAACUCCUAUAUUUAUACUCCAAAAUGCCAAAAUAACAUUUAAUCAGCAUUGUAGUAGCUAAGUAAAUUUGUAAGAAGUCAUGGUUCUUAAGUCUCUUACUAAUAUAUGUAAUAGAUUUAACCUUAUCAGAAACUGAUUCAAUAAUAUAUCUACUCCUUUUAGCUAACAGAUAAAGACAGAGGUACAAUAGAAAAAUGCACAAUUUUUCACAAUACUUUUUCAUGCAUGGCUACAUCAUUAAUGGCAGAGACCAUCCACACAUUUGCUAAGAACUGCGAACACUAACUCCCGUUUCCCGCCUACAUUUUACAUCCAAAUAUUUCAAACUUCUGUCAGAUAUUCAAAAACUAAGUUAUCUAAUAACAAGUAUAAUCAAAUCCUCAUCAAUUUAUAUCAAAAAUGAAUUUGUAAUCAAAUUAUUAAUUUAUAAAGAAAAGAUUUGCUAACGCGAGGUCUUAAAUUUUUUUAUUGAAAUCGGUCUCUAUGAGUGAGGUAAAUAUUAUUUAGUGGCCGAUAUGUGCAUAAAAACCAAAUAUUUGUAUGUCCAUUGUUCUUUCCCACUGUAAGUCCAUGCGGAGAAACUGCAAUUAUUUUUCUAUAAUCGCAAUUGCUCUGUCUGUAUACUAUGACGUUAUAAAGGCGUGACACCAUAUACUUUUCCAUGACGUUAUAGAUUUUAAAAACCACUAUACGAUACAUCAUGUGAUUUUCUCCAACUCCAUAAAAUUGAUGUUUUCAAUUAGAACAUGUCUUAUAAUAACAUUUUAAAGAAAUUAUUGUUAUAACAUAUCAUUGAUUCUAUUAACAAAUCUAUGUGAAUUAAAAAGAUACAUUACAGUC
rnacentral:sRNA from 1 species